rnacentral:rRNA from 1 species
AGGGUUUGAUCCUGGCUCAGGAUGAACGCUAGCGGCAGGCUUAAUACAUGCAAGUCGAGGGGCAGCGCGGGUAGCAAUACCUGGCGGCGACCGGCGCACGGGUGCGUAACACGUAUGCAACCUACCUUAAACUGGGGAAUAGCCCCUCGAAAGAGGGAUUAAUGCCCCAUAAUAUUGUGAAAAGGCAUCUUUUUACAUUUAAAGCUCCGGCGGUUUAAGAUGGGCAUGCGCGACAUUAGCUAGUUGGUGAGGUAACGGCUCACCAAGGCUGUGAUGUCUAGGGGUUCUGAGAGGAAAAUCCCCCACACUGGUACUGAGACACGGACCAGACUCCUACGGGAGGCAGCAGUAAGGAAUAUUGGUCAAUGGGCGCAAGCCUGAACCAGCCAUGCCGCGUGCAGGAUGACGGCCCUAUGGGUUGUAAACUGCUUUUAUACGGGAAAAAACCCUCGAUCGUGUAUCGGGGCUGAUGGUACCGUAAGAAUAAGGAUCGGCUAACUCCGUGCCAGCAGCCGCGGUAAUACGGAGGAUCCAAGCGUUAUCCGGAUUUAUUGGGUUUAAAGGGUGCGCAGGCGGAAUAAUAAGUCAGUGGUGAAAUCCUGCAGCUUAACUGCAGAACUGCCAUUGAUACUGUUAUUCUUGAGUAUAUUUGAAGUGGGCGGAAUGUGUCAUGUAGCGGUGAAAUGCUUAGAUAUGACACAGAACACCAAUUGCGAAGGCAGCUCACUAAGCUAUAACUGACGCUCAUGCACGAAGCGUGGGGAUCAAACAGGAUUAGAUACCCUGGUAGUCCACGCUGUAAACGAUGAUUUACUCGAUGUUGGCGAUACACAGUCAGCGUCUAAGC